UACAGAGGUCCCAAGCGUUGUUCGGAUUCACUGGGCGUAAAGGGGGCGUAGGCGGUCGGGUAAGUCUGAUGUGAAAUCUCACAGCUUAACUGUGAAACUGCAUUGGAUACUAUCCGGCUAGAGGAAUGGAGGGGAGACUGGAAUACUUGGUGUAGCAGUGAAAUGCGUAGAUAUCAAGUGGAACACCAGUGGCGAAGGCGAGUCUCUGGGCCGGUACCGACGCUGAGGAGCGAAAGCGUGGGGAGCGAACAGG
rnacentral:rRNA from 1 species